UGCACUUUUCGCCUGGCUUCUUUGCGUAAAGAACCUAACUCAUCUGAAGUUAAGAAAAAUAAACCAUUUAACCCUUUAACCAGUGUAUGCUAAGUAGUGGCAAUAAGAAUCUGAACUUUCUGAAAUUUGAACCAGAACUUGAAUAGGAAAACAAGUGGACACACCCGCAAGGAAACCCAUCUCGAAACCGGCGAGUUGCCUAAAACCUCCCUUGUUGUCUUGCUUGCUUUCGGAUAAGAAAGACUAGUCACUUUAACCUACCUUCCUAGCUAUAGUU
rnacentral:lncRNA from 1 species